rnacentral:rRNA from 1 species
UACGUAGGGUGCAAGCGUUGUCCGGAAUUAUUGGGCGUAAAGAGCUCGUAGGCGGUUUGUUGCGUCGGCUGUGAAAUCCCGAGGCUCAACCUCGGGUCUGCAGUCGAUACGAGCAAACUAGAGUGUUGCAGGGGAGACUGGAAUUCCUGGUGUAGCGGUGAAAUGCGCAGAUAUCAGGAGGAACACCGGUGGCGAAGGCGGAUCUCUGGGCCAUUACUAACGCUGAGGAGCGAAAGCGUGGGGAGCGAACGGG